UACGGAGGGGGCUAGCGUUGUUCGGAAUUACUGGGCGUAAAGCGCACGUAGGCGGCUUUGCAAGUCAGAGGUGAAAGCCCGGGGCUCAACCCCGGAAUUGCCUUUGAGACUGCAUCGCUAGAAUUGUGGAGAGGUAAGUGGAAUUCCGAGUGUAGAGGUGAAAUUCGUAGAUAUUCGGAAGAACACCAGUGGCGAAGGCGACUUACUGGACACAUAUUGACGCUGAGGUGCGAAAGCGUGGGGAGCAAACAGGGAUUAAGAU
rnacentral:rRNA from 1 species